UGGGGAAUAUUGCACAAUGGGCGCAAGCCUGAUGCAGCCAUGCCGCGUGUGUGAAGAAGGCCUUCGGGUUGUAAAGCACUUUCAGCGAGGAGGAAGGUGGUGAGCUUAAUACGCUCAUCAAUUGACGUUACUCGCAGAAGAAGCACCGGCUAACUCCGUGCCAGCAGCCGCGGUAAUACGGAGGGUGCAAGCGUUAAUCGGAAUUACUGGGCGUAAAGCUCACGCAGGCGGUUUGUUAAGUCAGAUGUGAAAUCCCCGGGCUCAACCUGGGAACUGCAUUUGAAACUGGCAAGCUAGAGUCUCGUAGAGGGGGGUAGAAUUCCAGGUGUAGCGGUGAAAUGCGUAGAGAUCUGGAGGAAUACCGGUGGCGAAGGCGGCCCCCCUGGACGAAGACUGACGCUCAGGUGCGAAAGCGUGGGGCAGCAAACAGGAUUAGAUACCCUGGUAGUCCACGCUGUAAACGAUGUCGAUUUUGGAGGUUGUGCCCCUUGAGGCGUGGCUUCCGGAGCUAACGCGUUAAAUCGACCGCCUGGGGAGUACGGCC
rnacentral:rRNA from 1 species